GUCACCAUGGAGCAGAUGAGCCCAGAAGGACCCCCAAACUCUUUGAGUAUUAGCAGAAAUCUUUAAUAAAUUAUUACCUUUCUUCCAGCCGCAUUAAAGCCAGUCCCAGCCAGGCUUAAGGAGAGCUGGAAUGGAGAGGAUUCUCAUCUAACAUCUGGGUUGCAGUUGUAUGUUAACAUGGACUUCCUAGGAAGUAACAUAUCAAACAAAAGGGAAAGUGAUCAACCAGCAGCAGGUACCAGCCACAGUUAACUGCACCUGCUAGGAGCUCUGAAAGACUUUUUUUUUUUUUUUAACGAAUAAAGAAAUUCUCAUUUCACUCUCCUCCACACUGGACUCACUGAAAAAAGAGUUGUCCUUUUCCCCACAAAUCUCAUUUCUGCUGGGUCAGUUUUUCUGUGCUGCUCCAUGAGAGCUGGGGAUGACUUUCACCAACCAGCAGUGGCUGCGCUGACGUUAAGCAAGAAGAUAAGAGCCAGGAUAUCAUACAGAAAAGUGGACCGGGAGGAAGCCAGGACAGAAAGGACAUCAUUCAACACUGAAUGCUGCAUUCUUGGUUUCUAAUAAUGCCACCUGGAGCCCUACUUUCCAAGAAUCAUUAUCACCACCUUUCGAUUCCCUACUUCAGCUGCCUUAUUUUGUAGGUACCCUUUGUUAAAAGCUGCAUAAUUCUCUGU